GACGAACGCUUGCGGCGUGCCUAAUACAUGCAAGUCGAACGCAGUGGGGACGGGUGAGUAACACGUGGGUAACCUCCCAUCAGAGGGGAUAACACUUGGAAACAGGUGCUAAACCUAUAUUGAUGGAUGGACUCGCGGUGCAUUAGCUAGUUGGUGAGGUAACGGCUCACCAAGGCCACGAUGCAUAGCCGACCGGAGAGGGUGAUGGGCCCCACUGGGACGGAGACACGGCCCAAACUCCUACGGGAGGAAGCAGUAGGGAAUCUGCGGAAAUGGACGAAAGUCUGACCGGGCAACGCCGGGUGAGGGAAGAGGGUUUUCGGAUCGUAAAACUCUGUUGUUAGAGAAGCGGUAUCUAACCAGAAAGCCACGGCUAACUACGUGCCAGCAGCCGCGGUAAUAC
rnacentral:rRNA from 1 species